rfam:Cetobacterium somerae ATCC BAA-474 genomic scaffold Scaffold98, whole genome shotgun sequence.
UAGAAAAAUCGGUAGGUGAGGCUACCAUAGGGAUAAGGGUUGCUGCCGCGAAAUAGUGGAGACACUAUGAGUUGGUUAACAGUCUAUGUCGAAUUCAAGGCAUAGAAUAAUGCAAUUUCAUCGCCCUAUGAAGCUAAAGCUCAAACGGUUAUUAAA